UCCAAGAAGAAAAAGUAAAGCAAUAUGGUUGAAGAAUAAGGGUGAGGAAGAUGAACAGGAGGAAAUGUGGUAACUGAAUUGGAAUGGACUCAAAGCAUGGCUCCUAUAAGCUAUGUUCAGGAGAUUAAAUUUUAUUAUAAAGGUAUUAAAAGAAUUUGGAUGUCUUGAACCAAGUCAGCUCCCAUGACUCCCAUGUGUAUUCCACAUUUCGAAGUGACUAUGAAGCCCUCUCGGGAUUGAGAUGAAGGAAGUGUGCGGCAGGGAAUCAACAGCUUUCUUUAAAGAAAUAUCUUCUCUAAGUUUUGUCUCCCCUAAAAUUAUUUAUUCAUGUAUAUUCUUGAUAUGGCCCAAGGGUGUAAAGACAUGGACUAUUUCUUUUUUUUAA